rnacentral:rRNA from 1 species
CACGUAGGGCGCAAGCGUUGUCCGGAAUUAUUGGGCGUAAAGAGCUCGUAGGCGGUCUGUUGCGUCCGCUGUGAAAACUCGGGGCUUAACCCCGAGCCUGCAGUGGAUACGGGCAGACUAGAGGUAGGUAGGGGAGAAUGGAAUUCCUGGUGUAGCAGUGAAAUGCGCAGAUAUCAGGAGGAACACCGGUGGCGAAGGCGGGUCUCUGGGCCGAUACUGACGCUGAGGAGCGAAAGCGUGGGGAGCGAACAGG